ACGACUCUCGGCAACGGAUAUCUCGGCUCACGCAUCGAUGAAGAACGUAGCAAAAUGCGAUACUUGGUGUGAAUUGCAGAAUCCCGUGAACCAUCGAGUUUUUGAACGCAAGUUGCGCCCGAAGCCAUUCGGCUGAGGGCACGUCUGCCUGGGCGUCACGC
rnacentral:rRNA from 1 species